GCAAGUUGUCUAUCCUCCUCCGUUCCUAAUUGUUGGCUCAGCGCCCUAGAUAACUGCUGCACUUGAAACUGCUCUCGUUGAAGACGGAGCUGAUGCUCCGAAGGAAGCAUGUUGCCAUACUUUGCUUGCGACAUGAAAUCCAAAAAAUCAGCCUGUUGCCCUUGGACUGCACCCUGGUUAACCUUUGCUUGGAUGAUCUGCUCCAGUGAUGGAUCCAGGUGCCUUGAUGCUUGAGAAUUAUUCUGCAAUUCACUACGAAGAUGCCUUUGUAACUGAACCUGAUCAAGUUGGAUGUCUCUAGCAGCUUCAAAUACGUCCUGACCAUAGCCAGGAUCAGAAAUCUGACGCUGCAGCAAUUGAUCAAGAAGAAUCUGUUGAGAUUGAGAAUUCUGCUGCUGUCGAUGUUGUUGUUGCAACUGCUGCAACAGUUCAAUUUGAAGUUCCAACUGCCGUUGAUGCUGCUGAAGUUCCAACUGCUGCUGCCGCUGAAGCUCCAACAGACGUUGAUGCUGCUGAAGCUCCAACGUUGAUGCUGCUGAAGCUCCAAUUGCUGCUGCCGCUGAUGCUCCAAUUGCUGCUGCCGCUGAUGCUCCAACUGCUGCUGCCGCUGAUGCUCCAACUGCUGCUGCUUCUGAAGCUCCAACUGAUGCUGCUGCCGUUGUAGUUCUAACUGCCGCUGCUGUUCAACUUGAAGUUCCAAAAGAUGUUCCAUAUGGGGAGCUGAAUGAUGGACUGACUGCUGAUGAUUGAGAUUCUUGCUCUGCAUCAGAUCAAAACUAUGGAUGUGCUCCACACCAAAUCCGGUCGAAUGUGGAAGGGCAUGAAAGAAAUUAUUUUUCUCUUGAAGAGGUUCAUUGGGCAACUUUUGUGACAUUAAGUGCUGUACCAGGUCCAAACCAUUGUGUUCUUGGUCCCUGUGAGAUAAUGGCCUAGCACCAGUAGUGCCUAGAUGAAUGUUAGGAUUAAACACGGCAUUUCUUCUAUGAUCAUCAGACCAAGCCUCUGGGAGCAACUCAUCACCUCGAUGAGGUGCAUUGGUUUUUGAAAAUUCAUUUGCAAUGGAUAAAUGACUGGCAGGGUGACGCAAAGGAUCUUGCAUCUCAGUAGAAACUUUCAAAGGGUCAGCACCAGCACUUCCAGGCCUUCCUGGAAAAAUGAUUUCUGCAUCACACGUGGAAAGGCAGGCAUCAUUAACAGACACAAUUGUUAACAAUAUAAACAGUAGGUGCAACCCAUUAAACUUACCAUCAGCUUGAGCAACAGCAAAAUUAUGGAUGUUUGGAUCUUCAUAAAAUUGGUGCUCAGAAUGACCACUUUCACAAGGCCCUCUUAACUGAAAGUUAGUACCAAAUGGCUCAAAAGGAGAAAAAGAUUGCUGCUGCUCACGCCCAAUGGCAGAUCCCUGAGCAGGAGCAGAAGCAGAAGCAGAAGAAGAUAUGGUCUCUUCCAAGCUCCCUUCAAAACGAUCAGGUACUCGCAUUCUGGCAACUGCACUAACACUGGAGGCUGAACCAGGAUUCAUUCUUAGGUGAGGCAUGACUUCACCAAGUUCUUGGAAAGGCGACCCAUCAGGAGCAUUUGCCAAUCGAACAGGUAAAUCUGUACCAAAAUAACCUUGCUCAAACCAUGAAAUUAUGUCAAUCCCCAAAUACGGUCCCUGAAUUACCCCUUGAGGAUCAAGAUAACACAGGCUCAUAUCCUCAGGAGGGAUAGCACUUUCCAGUGAAUGUGCAGCAAUAUUGCCCUCAACGCUUAUCAGGUUACAGCCGACUCUAGGCUGUAGUGACGAAAAACCAAACAGAGAACUUGACUCUUCCGGAAGCUCGCCCACUCCAAAUUUCAUGGAUGAUCCAUUGUCCUUCACAUUAGAGUCCUUUUGCAUUUUCAAAUCAGCUACUUGCCGAUUAUCAAAAGAUUUUAAUUCAUCCAUGUAAUUUGUGGAACCACCCAUCUCCCUAUCUGACCCCAAAGCAUUGGUUACAUCUACAUCAGAUGGUGGCAUGCAUCUCUGUCCACCUUCUAUUGAACUAUUCAUUUCUGUAAUGACAAACAGAAAAUUUCAUUAAUAUUAUCCUUAACAGACUGCUGAUAGCCAACAACUAAAAUCGAAAGUUUCCUACCCUUGCUCAUAAUCAUCUGUGAAUCUGACACAUAAAAUGUCUCAGCAUGAUUCCCCUCAAAAUUAUUGUUUACAGCAGCCUUCUCACCAGGUUCAGCACUAUCCUUCCUGUUAACUGAGAAACACUCUUUUCCUUCACCUGAAAUCACAGGGCAAAUAACUUAUCAUGUCAAAGGUAUCUUAAUUAUUUACUAGGUAGGUAAGUUACAACAUAAAUGAAACACUAGAAGCAAUGCUAUCAUUUGAUCCCUACUUGCAUCCAUAAAUGAGUUGUAGACCACUUCACUGCUGAUAGUUUUCCCUUUCCAUAUAUCUCUGAGGAUAGCCUGUAAGAAUCAGGCAAGCAAAUUUUAGGCAACCAUAUAGAAGGAUAAAGAUGAGUACAUUUUAAUUCUAUAAAUCAAACUAGAAGGUUCAGACCUUUUCCUCUGCAUCAGGAGGAACAAAUGCCAAAGGCACAACAAUUUCUUUUUGUGUUACUGUGGAUAAAUGAUCCAUCUCAUCAGGUAGGUUGUCAAAAUUUGGAGCAGUCUUUUGUUUGCGGUAAAUGUCAAGGAGUUUUCCUCUUGGAUAGGAACCCGCAUUAAGGGUCAUGUUUUUAUCCACAGGAAGAGCUCCAACAACAGGAGCAGAUUGUGGCCUCCCAAUUUGUAGGCUUGCAUUGGAAUUUGGCCUUCCUCGUCCUGCUGCAAAACCCACAUUUGAUCUCUCCACUCGUCCCCUCUCCAAACCAAAUCCUGGAGCACUGCGGUAAGAAGCAGACCCACCUGCAUGAAAUUCCAACCGAUGACGUGGCCUCCAUUUAUCACGAGAAUCAUUCUCGCGCUCAGAAGCUGGGCGCCCCCCACUGGCAAGUGCUUGUUUGUCAGAAGGGGCAUCUUCCUUCUUAGCAUCAGUCCUCUUCUCAUUUCGUGAAUCCUUUUCUUUGUCUUCAAGACCCCAUCUCGAAGACCACUUGUUGUCCCUUCGAGAUUCAUGCCCUGAACUACGGUUACAAACAUCUUGACGUCGUUCUGAAGACAACAAAGUCCUAUUUUCAGGAACAUCCAUUGUUGAAGAAAUAUCAGUGCGACGAUCUUCUUUUCUGCGAUCUCUUCGACCAAGUAAGCUUGUUUCCCUCUCCUCUUCACGCCAGUGUCGGCUGCUUUCAAGAUCAGGUGCAGUCCUCCUCCAUUCUUUCUUGUCCUGAGAACUAUCUAAACGCCAACUAUCUUUCAGAUUCGGGUCGCCAGGGGUUCCAUGAGGCAACAAAUUCGGAGUUUUUGUAUCCUGUUAAGAGGAAACAAAUUAUAAAACUGAAACAAUACAAACCAAAAUGAAAAAUAGCCACAAGCUCUAACUCAAAUAUAUAUUUGUGAUGAGCAUAAUAAACCAAGAAAAUAAAAAUAAUUUCUUCAAAUCUAAUCAAGCUACUUUUUUUUUGAAACCAUAUACACUACUUACCCAUACUUCCACUACAGAAAAGUAAAUGAAACUAGAAACCAACAAAUUAAACACUCAUAUGGCAACCAGCACCCUUAAAACAUUUGAUAAGAGAAAUAAAAGUGCCAUACCCCAGAUGCUCCAACAGUUAAUGUCUUUGCUUCGGCUACUUUAGAGUAAAGCCACUGUGGGGACAGAGGUAUGCUGCUCUCCGAAGUUUGUUGAUCUAUUGGUCACAAAAGUUAAAAAAAAAAAAUAGUUAAAACUCUUGCAAGGAAAGAGCUUCCUGUGAUUUUAAAAAUACAAGAUUUCAACAUUAAGAUAAAUAUUAUUACCUUUGUUGUCAUCAAGUAGCCCCGUCAGUCCUUUCUCCUCCAAGUUCCUAUCCCAAGCUUCAUCUAGCAAUAACAGAAACUAAGAUAAGUACCGCAUAGGUGAAGCUGUAGAAACUGUCUAACCUCACUUUUCAAGCUUGAUUUUAUGCAGUCCUUAAAACAAAAAAAUUGCUUUGAGAUUGAACUGCCAAGUUUUCUAAUUGUAACAGAUGAACGUUUCUUUGAAUAAUCUUUCCGUAUAAUUAGAAUAAAACAUGCUGUAGUACGAUAUAUCAACUUCAGGGUCGUCAGGUAAAAUUUGCCAAUAAUUUUGAGAAUUAACUAAAGUGAUUUUCUCUAAUCAACGGAGAAUUUGAAAGGAGCAAUUUGAGCUGAUAUAAUUUUACAUAGAAACAAUCGUGAAUUUCCUUUGUUUUCCUUUCUGGCGAAAACCAUUAAAUUAAUACGCCGUAACAGAAAGAAUUUAAACGAAAUUGAACGACAUCUUAGGGGACAAUAAUCAUCAACGCAAUCUGAAAUUUAGAAUUAAUAAAUUAAACUAUUCAAAGUCAAAUAAUGAAAAACUUAGUAAAUGGAUAAUAUUUGAGACAACCUUGAGGAUUGAAUUAAAAUGUGAAACCACUGCGAUCGGAAUCCAAAAAGUAAAAAGUUGUAGUAUAAAAAACGGGAGAACGAAAACUAAAACGAAUAAAAAAGGAAAUGUAUUAAUACCUUUAGGGAAGUGGUCAGAGCAGAUUUUUGAGGGCAUGAGAUCAUCAGGUAGAUCGAGUUUUCCGUCAGCCAUCGAGACUGUGAAAAUUGUUAGAAUCUAAAAGGCAGAGAUCGCAGCGGGCAAAAGGCGGCGUUCAAGGUUCUGGAAAAUGGCGACACAGAGAGAGAUCGGAUGGCUCAAUUGAAAAAGAGAGAGAGUGUUUGAAGAGGGAAUGAUUUUGCAGGGAAUGAAAGAGCGGAAAUGGCUAGGGUUUCUAAAACUUGAGGUUUGGGUCUGAUUUUGAUAAGGACGACCAGGAUUUCGAUUUUUUUUUUUUUUGCGUUUUGUUUGAAAUGGGGAUUUUUCCUUUUGGGAUGAAAAAAGAAAUCGAUAAAUAUGUACAUAAGAAGUAAUUUUUUUAAUAGAUAUUUUUAUUAAAAUAUUUCAUAUUAUUUUAUUUAAAAUUUAGAAGUAGUUGUAAAUUAUAUAAAUAUAUUCUAUUAAUUAUUAUUCAUCAACUAUAUCAAAAUAUAUUUAAUUAUAUAAUUGUAAUAGUAUUACGUACACCAUAUUGGAUUCGUUAAAAUAGAAUAAAGUUAUAAUCAAUUGAUUAUUUUGUAGAAAUAGAAAUUUAAAUUAAAUAUGUAUAAUUUUAGUUUAGUUAGGUGGAAUUGUAAUAAUAUUAAUGUAUUUGAUUUAAAGAAAUAAAUAUUGUAAUAUUAAUUUAUUGUUUAACUAAGAAAUACUAUAACUUUUUUAAAAUAUUUAAAUGAUUAAUAUAUUCUUCAAUUAAUUAUUCUUUUUAAAAAAUGAACAAAAUAAAAAUGGCCAUUGCAUAAAAAUGUAAAAAAAUAAAAAAACGUGAUAUUGAGCAAUUUACAAAAUUAAAAUCUUCUCAUUUGAAAUUAAAGCUCCUAAAUAAAGUCAAACCAAUGUUGCUGCAGUAUUUCUAAAAAUGUAAAAAUAAGAACAUAGUCUUCCUAUUUGUAAAGUUAUUGUUGCUACAGUAUUUUACCAUUUCAUUGUGAAAGGAGUUCUCUUCAAGCUAAACUAAUAAUAUAUUUACACCACAACGAAGUCAGAAAUUUAUUUUACAAAAUCAAAUUGAAUUAUAUUUUUUCAAGAAGAUUAAAGUAUAAUUUUAUUAUUGUAUUAACAUAUCAUUUGUAAAUUUUAAAAGGAAUUAUAAAGAAAUUUAUUAUCUUAGAAGGGGUCAAAUUGCAACAUAACCAUUAUAUUAAUUUAAAAAUUCAAAACUUUUGAAAGAACUAAAAAUAUUUUUUUUACUAUUUGGGAGGCCAAGGCCCAUGCUUGCCCUUUUGAUGUCGUCCUUGAUUAAUACUUAGUUUUAAAUGCAUAAUAAAUAAUGAGCAACUACUUGCAUAGUUUGUUAGUGAUGAAUUUAGGUGAGCAAAUUUUGAUAUGCAUUCUGACACCCCACACCUGAUUCGAUUAUAAGAAUUGAAUGUGUGAUGUCACAUUACUUUGUCGAAGUAACUCGUAUCAUUUAUGGAAUAAUUAACCAUAUAUACAUGACAUAAUUUAAAAGCAUUUUCAAUUGCAAGUAUAAUCAAUCAUUACUGAUGUCCUACAAAAUAUUCUUUGAGUUAUGUGAGGUCAACCACGGAGUUAGGACUCGAAUCCAAACUCAACUACCAAAAUUCAACUGGGUGUCCUGAGGCCAAAUGGUAAAAAUGCCAAAAUGCAAUUUUACUUCAAGCCAUAAGGAUGCCAAAUCAUACCUAUGAAACCAUAUAACACUCAAUUAUCAACCAACAACUUGGCAUCCAAAAACAUAUCAUCAACAAUUCAUACCAUUAAAAAAACCUUAUAAGACCCCUAAUUUAUAGGUACAUGCCAUUAUAAAUCACAAACAUAAUGAAACUUUACAAAGAUUUAGUUGAGUCGAGAUGUGAGAUUUGGAUGCUGUUGGCUCUCAUCGAUCACUCCAAAACCUAAUCGCCACCUACGCACGAAAACAAAUAAUCCGCAUGUUGAGUAAAAGAGCUCAGUGGUGCCUAUAUAAUAUGAUAACAAUGCUUAUACAUGAUAAAUAAAUAUCAAACUAUUUAAUCUUCCGUAAUUUGAUAUGUCAAAUUACGCUCUCCAUUACACUUAAUGAGCUUAUUCUCGAGCAAUUUAUAUGUUUUUUGUCGUGUUUUUACUUAGUUUUAGUUCUUUGUUUUGAUAAGUGAAUUAGUGCAUUUUAUGCUACUUUUGAGACUCGAAUUUACCAAAUGUGUCAUAGGGAUCCUAAUGGUUGAUUGAGUCUUGUAGGGAGUCAUUGGCGGCCUGAACGUGAACGAAAACAUCAUCUAGAAGGGGGUAUUGAAAUAUCGAAGCAUGAAAGUCAUGGUACCCGUGAUAGUGCUAAAUUGAAGAAGAUUGAGGCUCUUCAUUGUGAUUUCACGAUAUCCAACUCCCAAAGGGCCCCCCAUUUCAAGACUGUCGUGGGUAUCGCAAUACUGCUGCCUGAUGUGGAGAAAAAUGACUGCAGUGGUAGUUUUUGUCCAACACCAAAAACCAAUCAAAAUACAACGUCCAAGGGCAUUUUGGCACUAAAAUUUGGGUUGUAAUAAGCUAUUAAAAGCCAUUUUUGGCUAAGAACAAAGAGAGUUGUAGUUUAGGUUAGAAAGCUUCUUAGUUUUAGGUUUUUUCUUUCAUCUUUUAGUUUAGGUUAGCUGUAGGAUUUAGCUUUCUACAACUUCUUUAUUUUCCUUGUAUUUUCUUAGUUAGUUAAGUUAGUUUUUACUAUAGCUAAGUGUUGUUUAUCUUUAAAUCCUUUAACCUUACAUUGUAUUUUCAUUUCCAUCUAAAGCUUUUAAUAUAGUUUAAAUUCAUUUUCAGUUUCUUAGAUAAAAAUAUGAUCUUUUAUGUUUUUUCUUCCUUACCAUUAUUGUCAUUUGUGUUUUCUUCAAGUCUUUACUAGAAUGUUCAUGUUUUUAUCAUAUUUCCUUUAAGUUAACUUGAUGUAUAUGUUGUUCGAAUAUUUGGUUUUUGCUGGUUCAUAUAUGAAUAUUAGUAGCUAAAUCUUAGGGUGGUUGGUUGAUGAAAAUGUUGUUUAGUUAGUCUUUGAUGCAUGGACUAAAUCGUAAAAAUUAGACUAAAUUCAUUAAACUUUAAAACUUAGGAUUGAUGCCCCUAAGGGAAUAUCAAGAUAAGUGACACCAAGAGGAAAUCUUAUUGGGCACCAAUUUAUUAGUCCUGGGUUAGUCGGGUGAGGUCGAGAGAUAAACCGGACUAAUUUGUCUAAUUUGGUAAAGUUGAGACUAAAAGGUAAAAUAGAACCAAUUUAGGAGUGUUAACGAUUUAGAUCCUUAAUUCAAAGGUUAAUUAACAACAUGGAAAUCAACCAACCACUCCCUGUUAUUGUAUUUGAUAGUUUUAUAUUUUGCUUUAUUUACAAUUUAGUCAUUUUCUAUUUUAGGUAAUUAAUUAGCUUAAUUAAUAUUUAAAUUAAGUUUUUCCGUAAUAUAGACAUUAGUGAGUAGCUAGCUAUACUCCUUUUUUGCAUGCUUGGUUGAAUAGAAAUCAUUGAAUCGUUGACUCCUUUGGGUUCGAUUCUUGGAAGAUUUCGGUGUUUUAUUGUAACAUUACAAAUAUUACAACUGACUUGUCACACUUGCAGAUACCGCACUUAAUAUUUUAUUCAAUUGUUAUUUUUAGUGUUGAUUUCCUCUCAUCAUUCACGAUGGCGACAAGGAGUCGAUCAAGUUGUUAGCACUGUUGUCAGGGAGUAGGUGCAAGAUUUAGUGAUUUUUAGUGCCUGUUGCGUGUUUGUAAGGAGAUAAUUAGAAAAAUCUAUGUUUAUAGAUACGACACUUUAUUUUCUUAAAUUUGUAGAGAGAACUACCGAAAUAAUAUACGUCUGGUGCUAAAUAUAUAUACACCCAAUGCUUAUCGGUACGUCCAAAGAAAUAUGCACCUAGUGUUCAUUGGUAUAUUACCGAAGUAAUGUGUAAUAAGGCUUUAUUCUUUAUUUUUUAUUACUAAAUCUCAUUGUAUCAUAAAUAGAAGCACAUUAUCAAUAACAAUUCACAAUCACAAUUAUUUAUAUAAUUCGACAUAACUCAAUCGAAUCAAGUAGUCACAUUUAUACAUACCUCAAACUUGUUCAUCACUAAUAUCAUUUGAUCAUAAUUCACUAUUUGUUUAAAGAAUAAAUUAAGAACAAAUUAUGUGUAACACCCCUAACCCGUAUCCGUCACUGGAUUAGGGUUACAAGGUAUUAUCAAAUCAAGUGACAACAUAAAACCAUUCAAUUAUUAAUUUAAAUAUCAAUAUUCAAAACCAAUAAUCAUUCAUAGCAUAUAUACAAUUUCGAGCCUUAUUUCGAGCUUAUGGAACCUAAAAAUCAAUUUGGAAACAAUUAGGGACUAAUUUGAAGUAAAACAGAAAAAUGUAGAAAAUAUAAAAAUAGAGGUCACAUAACCGUAUGGCCAAGUUGUGUACAGUUUGAAAAUAGGGUCACACGAUCGUGUCUCCAAGCCAUGUAACAACAUGUGACUGUGCGGGUCAAACCCGCACCUAAAAAUCAAUAAGACACAUGAUCGUGUGGGGUGGUCGUGUGUAGCACACAACUAUGUGCAUCCAAAAUGACCCCUAAUGCAAGCUAAUUCAUCAACCAUUUCUUAGGCAUCAAGCCAAACCAUUUCCAAACUUUUUCACCAAUUCAAAACACAUCUAAAUAUGACAAAAGCAAACAAAAAAUAUACAACCCAUUGUGUCUAACCAAUAUGCCUACAUUGGCACCAGAAUCAAACACUGAUCCAAAUUCACAUUCAAUAUACACAUGUUCCUACCUUAUAAACCAAUCUAACAUAUCUAUGCAUCUAUUUCAUACACAUCCAUUGAAUCAAACAUCAAACCACUUUCAUAAGGCAUAUAACAUAUGGUCAAAAACACUUACAUAGACAUACCAUUGCCAUCACACACCACAAUCAACCACAAUACUAAUUAAGCUUCACAUUAAUAAACACAUCUCAUACUUCAAUUGAUACAAAACAUAUCCAUAAUGAUUAUAACAUAUAUAUACAAAAACCCUAUUUACAUGCCACUUAUAACAAACCAAAGUGAACAAUUAGUUACCGAUUAAGUUGUCGGAUAAUGCAAUCUCCAAAAGCAAUGCAAUCGAUAGCUCGUAACUAACUAUCUACAAAGAAUAAAAACCAAAAAUGAGGUAAGCUUGCGUAAAACUUAGUAAGUUCGUAUUGAACAUAACUUUAACUUACUGUAACGGUCGUAACUUAAACAUUUCGCAAUUAAAUUCAUAAAUAAGGUCAUGAGUUCAUUAUUAAUAUAUACAUAUUACAAGUCUCACAAGGUUAGUAAGUUCGCAAAUAUGAAACUUAUAACUUUAUUCUGUCAUAAAACAUAUACUAGUAAACACAUUUGAUAUACCAUUCAUACAACAUCUAUUCAUUUAACAUUUUAUCUUUCCAUUUCAAGUGUUCAUUUCAAAUGUCCCUUUUUACAUAUCUAUCCAUAUAAACAUUUCGUACAAUCACUUCAUAUAUCUAUUUUCAUAUAAUCAUUUCAUAUACUCAUUUAUAUAACUAUUUUGUAUACCCAUCUCAUAUUACAAUUUCGUAGAAUCAUUUCAUAUAACCAUUUUGAGUAACCAUUUCAUUUUACACAUUUAACAUGUAUUCAUUUUGUAUAUCACAUUUUGUUUCAAUAUUUCAUAUCAAAUUCUCCAUUAAUUGUUUCAUUCCAUAUAGUUGUUUCGUUUUACACAUUUAACACCUGAUGAACCAAAUGAAAUAACGUCGGAUACGCAAGAACAAUGCUUACACAAAGUAUGACUGUAACUGUAAAUGCUCACAUGAGCUAUAAAAUGGGCCUAUGCACACGAGCUGUGGAGAAUUCGCAACAAAUGUAGGACAUCAUGUAACAGCCUGAUUUUUCAGUGGUGUCGGAAACAGUGGUUCGAGGCCACCAAAUCCGGUAAGUAAAAUUGUAAAUAUUAUUAUUUAAUAUUUAAGAGUCAAAUAUGAUUUUAAAAAGGUUUUUGAAUUGGUAAUUUAUGUUUUAAAAUGAUUUAUUAGGUUCGAGUGGUAAGAUACUAGGUCAAGUGGUUUUAAAAAGUGAGGUAUCGGGACCUCGUUUCAAUAAAAUGAGCUGUAAAUAUUUUUAUAAAUAUUUAAAGAGUGUCAUUAAGAUGACAUUAAAGUUUCGUUGAAAAAUUUUAACGUUUCGAUAGUUAAUUAAUUAAAAAGGACUAAAUUAGAAAAGGUGUAAAACUUGCUAAUUAUAAUAUUUAAAUGAAUAAAUGACUUGAUUACUAAAUGAGGAAGGACUUAAGUAAUAAAUAAACCUAAAUUAAAAGAUAAGGCGGCAUAAUUAAAUAAAUCCAUUGAAUGGCAAAAUGGUAAUUUUCUUGAAAUUAAAAUAAAACCAAUUGAAUUUGUAAGUUAUUUUUAUGCAUUCUUCUUCUUGUUUCGGCCUAAACCACCAUGAGAGAAAUUUUUAAGCUGGUUCUUCAAUUUUCGCUUAAUGUGAGUUUAAUUUUUACCCGUUUCUUGUAAUUUUUAUAUUUUUGAGAUUGUUACAAUUAAGUUCAAUUAAACCAUACCUUUGUUUUUUGAUUUUAUGAAAAAUUUUGGAAGUUUCGAUUGAUAAAUAUUAGAUUUUUUUGAUGAAUAACAUAGAUUUAGAGUUUUGAUUUUGUUGUAUGAUGAUUUUAUUAAGUGAUUUUGUUAAAUAUUGAUUUUAGGAUUAAAUUGUGAAAAAGUUAAAAUAUUAGGGUUUAAUAGUGAAUUUUUGGUUUAUUAAGGGUUGUAUGAAGGCCUAGAAUAUUUGGAUAGAUUAUUGAUUGAGAAAAUUAGUUAAUUUGAUAGAUUAACUAAUUAAGGGAUUAAAUUGUAAAAAUUGUAAAAAAUUUUAGGUAAUUGUUUAAAUUUUUAAAAAAUAAAAGGGUAUUAAUUGUAAAAUGAAUUGAAAAUGAAAUAUAUGCUAAUAAAUGAAUACUUUUUAUAUUUUAGAUCAAGAUCCCGUAAAUACUCGUGAAAAAGGAAAAAUAGUAAAUAGUCCCUGAACUUCUACAAUUACUACAAUUCAAUCCAGGUAAGUUCGUACGGUUAAAAUUUAAUAUUUGUAUAAAUUCGAUGAACGGUAUUAUGCAUUUAUUCUAUUGUUGGAAAUGAAUUAUUAUUGGAAUUAUAACAUUGAAUUGGAUAUUUGGUUGAAUGGAACGCGAGAUUUGAGUACAAUCGUAAUUUGGCGUAUGAUGGUAUUGGAGGGAGAUAUCAGCAUUUUACCCAGGUAAAAUAAGGUUCAGCAUUUGUUGCGAACUCUCGUGUUUUACUUUAUGUUUGGCGUAAUUGGGUGAAUUAGCUCUUACGAGCUUCUGUUCAGCUCUUAUGAGCUUCUGUUCAGCUUUCAAGCUUCUGUUGGCAUAUUCAGAUGGACCAGUUCUUAUGAGCUUUUGUUAACGAUGUACUCUUAUCCGUAAGUCAUUCUUCGAAUGGAAAAAAAAUCUGUAAGGUGAUUUAUUUAAUGAAUUUGAAAGACAUGUUAUUUAUUUUGUAUUGAUUUGAAUACGAAUGUAUUUGUCAAUUGAAGUUGUGAAUGACAGGAAGUUGACAUGAAUAAUUUUAUUUAUUUGACUUGUUAUAGUAGGUUCGAUAAGAUUCUUAUUUUACCCAUCGAACUUAUUAAGCUUUAUUAAGCUUAUUUGUAUUGUUUAAUAUCUUUGUAGAUUUUUAGAAGGUUAGACGAUCGGAUCAACACUCAAGUCACACUAUCCAACUUAUCUCGGUAGUUUUUGAAACAUUUAAUAUAGUUUAUAUGGCAUGUAUAGGCUUUCGUACGGACUUAGUCAAAGUUUAGCUUAUGAAAAUAUUAUGAAUAAUAUUUUGUUUAUAUAACCAACUCACAUAUUGGUAUGAAAUUAAGGCAUGAUUGUGAUGUUAGUAUAAGUGAUAUAUGUAUGUAUGUAUGUAAUUGAGUUAUAGUGAACUUUGGUAACUUGGUUAGAUAAACUGAUUAGGUAAGGUUGGAUACUUGAUUGGCAUUUUUCUAAGUUGUCAUUUGAGGUGCCUAAGGGUUUAUUAGUUGUAUAUGGUAAUAAUAUAUGUUUAAGACUUGAUUUUAGCUUGUGUUGCAUGACUUGUUAUGGGUUGUGGAUGUACAAUUUGUUGAGGCUAGGUUGGUGUCAAUUUGAGUGAGAAACGUGGCCUAGAAAAUGGUUUAUUUUCGUCCACACGAGUAGGUACACGGGUGUGUGUCUCAGCCAUGUGUGACAUAUGGUCAAGUGACACGACCGUGUGUCCCCUGUAUCAUCUUAAAAUGCAAGUCAAUAUGCUCACACGGCCUAGCACACGAGCGUGUGACCCAAGUCAGAGAGUUACACGGGUAUGGACACGGGCUUGACACGACCAUGUGUCCCUAUUUCGAAUUCUCACACGGCCUGAGACACGUGUGUGUCUUCUGACCGUGUGAGUCACACGACCUGGCCACACGACCGUGUGACCCCUGCAAUGUUGAAAAUUUUAAAUAUUUCUGAAAAAUUCUUUGAGUUUCUGAUUUAGUCCCAACUUGUUUCUAGUAUGUAUUUCAGGUCUUGAGGGCUCGUUUAAGGGACAAUAUAUAUGAUUUUAAUUGGUUUUAUUAUGAAUAUUGAUAUGUAAUAAAACAUUUGAAAUUUCUGUUUGAUUGAUCCGUAAACUUCGGUAAUGCUCUGUAACCCUGUUUUGGCGACGGAUACGGGAUAGGGGUGUUACACUUCAGCCAUCGGUAGGACAUCCAAGACCAGCACCCGAACUAUAAUAACCCUAAUGACAUGUCAUUUGUAUCCUAAGCAUUCACGAGGUUCAUAUGGGUCACUUUUUGUUUCCAAAGUAUCCUAAGCAUUCACGAGGUUCAUAUGGGUCACUUUUUGUUUCCAAAUAAAUUAACUUCAUUUUUAUUGUACCACAACAAGCUCACAACCAUAAAAUUUUCAUUUUUCAACAUAAUCAUAAUUUAGCCAAUAUCACAAUUUAGUCCAAAAUCACCAAUUGUCAUUUAUUAUUCAAUUUAAACUAUGCCUAACAUGAAUAAUAGUUAACAUGUUACCAAAAGUAACAAAUAACAAGUUUAAACAAUAUACAAACUUACCUAAACAAAAACGUUACGAGUAUGAUGCCGGCGACUAUUCUGUUAACUUAGUUGACUCCCAACCAAUCACAUUACAAAACUCAUAUUCCACAUCUUUCGAGCACACUUGGCGUACCAUACCUAUGGCAAUAACUCGUAUAUGGCGUGGCCUUAAAGAUACUUUAGUCCCUUACAACUUUAACAUAUACUUAGUAGGCGCAUCAUGCUCAAUCAACAUUCUGAUGCGUACUCUUUGCUUGUCAUACUCUUUCUUCAAUUGAAGAAUAUUACAAGAAUAAAUCCUUAAAUACUUCUAUGGGUGGAUACUUUAUGCGCCAAACAUUAGUUCACCAGAAGCUUCUAAAUUGGCGAACUAACUACCAAAGUACACCAAAACAGAUAAUCUUAACUUCUAUUUGUCUUCCUCUCGAAUAUGCCAAAUUUGGGAUGUGACGGGUUAAAUAUAAUAUGGCAUUUAACAGGUUAGAUGUUGGGCUAGUUAUUUCGAGUAGAGGUAUUUGCUAAGGUGAUCUGCUUUCUCUUUAUUUGUUUAUUAUGUGUACUAAAAGGCUCGAUUUUCUUCUACAGCAAGCGGAAAGUAGAAGGAGCUACAUGAUAUUUCUAUUUGUAGAGGGAGUUCGAGUGUCUCACAUCUUUUGUUUGCCGAUGAUAACUUAUUCUUUUCAAGGCUAAGGAUGGGAAGUGCCAAAUCGUUAAGACUAUUCUUUCUACUUAUGAGGCGACUUUGGGUCAAUCUAUUAAUUAUAAAAAAUCUAGAAUUCUAUUUAGCUCUAACAUCGAACUUUUAUAUAGACAAAUGGUGUGCUCUUCUUUGGGGGUCUGGGCCCAUUUGAACCAUAGUCAUUAUUUGGGCCAUUGCUUGUGGGAAAGAAAAAGAAAUAGGUGUUCUCCUUUUUUUGGGAUCGUUUGAGUAAAAGGAUUUAUAGCUGGAAGAAUAAACUUCUGUCAAAGCUCAGGAAGGAGGUGGUCUUAAAAAUGAUUGCCCAAGCGUUAUCAAUUUUCUGCACAAGUGUCUUUUUGCUCCCCUUAACUCUUGUGAUGCUCUACAAAAGAUGGUGAACUCUUUUUGGUGGGGUUUGAACUCUAGCGCUCAAAGGAAUAUUCUCAUAUUGGCUUAAGAACUUCCAAAUCACCUUUUCCUUGUCAUCGUAUCCCUUGGCUAACCAUGUUUGCUUUUUUCCUUCGAGCAUUUGAAUUGCUAGAAAUGCAGUCAUCCUUGAUACACCCUUAAGUGGUAGCGAUAUUCAGUCCAAAGCUAUCUCUCUCACCGUGGAAUUCUUCACUCUUUCCGAUGGAUCUAGAUUGUGGUUAUCCCUCAACUUUUCAAGUCAAGCAAAAUCCCCUUACAAGGUUUGUUCAAAGUCAAUUGUUGACAGCUCCUCCCUUGAUAAUACAAGAGUCACUAACACAAGAGCCAUUAUACAUGAUUAGUGGCAAUUGGGUUGCUGAUGGUCACUUUAACCAUGGCCACACCACCAACAUUAUGGACCAACUCUGGGUUGUUUGGGACCAACCUUUAUUCGCUCAGAGAACGAACAUUACUCAUGUUAUUGUUAAGCUUGGUUGUUAUUGAUCUUAUGAAACAAAUGAAAAUAUUUUACUCGGAGCUCAUUCAUGAUUGCAGAACUUUAUUGAUGAGAUUCCCCGGUACAUACGUCCAACAUUCCUUUUGAGAAGGUAACCACUAUGCUGACACUUCAAAUAGAGCUAAAAAUUAAUAACGAUCUUAGUCGAUUAUCAAAUACUAAGAUCUCAAAUAACUUCAUGUUGUUUCUUUUGAUAUCCCAAAAUUUAUGCAUUCUUAAAGCUCUUCGAUUAUGGGAAAAAAAUACACAGGUAUAGAAUGAAAGACCAACCUAUACGCGAAAAACUUAAGAGACUUAGGUGAGUUUGAAUGAGUGGUGCGUUUACCUGCGGUUAGUGUAAAAACAGCGGUGGCGGUAAGAUUAGAUACUGUAGCAAUACUGUACCGUGAGACAAAAAAUAAGCUAAACGCACCGCACCGCACCCAAUCGUCCAUCCAAACUUACCCUUAACCUUAAAAAAAGUAGAACAAAUUCGAAAUCGAGAACCAUAACCACAACACGUAGCAUUAUUUUCUCAUUUGUUAUCAGUUCCCAACAUAUCAGAAUCCAUAAUAACUUUGAUAUGCAAGUACAAUAAAGAAAACAAUUUUUUUUUAUCAAAGAAGGAAAAAAAUUACGUAAAAAAGGGUAAAAAUCUAAAUCGAUGAAUUUCAAAUAUCAACUCCCAUUUACUCGUCGCCUUAAAUGUUUGUUUGCCCAAGCUAAGCAUUUAACCUAACAAAAAAAUUUACAGCGAAAAUGUACAACAAGAUAUGGUGCGUGUAAAUGAGAAAAUUUAAUCGUCAAGACGAUGGAUCUCACCCAUCAAAAUGCGGUUGCUUGUAACCUUAAAACCAAGCAAGGCAGGAUCAAUUUGUCUUCCCUUUUUCCCUUUUUUCUUGCCACUUCGUCCAGCUUGUGAAGCACCAUCAGAUGAUGGUGGCUCAAAAGCAGAGCCAUACACGGGGACCUCUGCGCCAUGAAGAGCCGGCUUCUUAAGAAUCUCCAUGAAUGAUGCUUCAGACACUGCAGCCUCAUUAUAAGAUGAGGUCCUUCUCAUACUCACAUCUUUCUUGCCCGAUGCCUCUGUUUCUACUGUCCUCUUUGCCUGACUUGUAAGGCUUUUCUGCUUCACAAAUGGCACUGUGUUUUGAUCGGAAAAUACAUCCUGGGAUGAUGAAAUCUGUGCAACUUUAUCAACCCCUUUCGGCACUCCAGACAGUAACCUAUCAAUAAGACGAGCAUAUUUAGAUUAGAUGGCUUUUUAAAAAGAGUUAGUUGGAUGUGCACUCGUGUCAAAUGUCAAUUCUGAGGUGACUCGUCAUAGCGGUGCAAAUAAAAUCCCCCACCACCCCACAAAAAAAAAAUCACCAACAUCAACAUUAGAGAGAAGAGAGUGUCACCUUUCAUUAGGACGGUCUUCUACAGAUUUCUCUAAUCCAAUUUCAUUACUGUACAACCUGCCAUUCCCACCUGCACCAUUUCACUUUUAUGAUUUAAUUCAUACAGAAAAAAAAAACUAAAGGCCAUUUAAUAAGAUCUUUUUUUCUGAAGAUUACCGGUACUAAGUGAACUGUGACGGAUAUGGGUUCUACUUUGUAGGUCAGCACAGUCCAAAGGCAUCUCUACUUGCUCUAAGAUAUUGUCCUCAGACCCCGACAGAGAACCAGACCUUGAAAUCAUGCUUUUCAAUCCAUUUUUCUUCUCCUUCCCCUCCAGUUCGCCCAAUUCCUUAUCCACAGCAGAUUUUGACACUAAGCUAGCAUCUGCAUAAAUACUAGAAGACAGAUCUUCAGCGCCCAACAACAAUGACUGAUCUUCAGCAAAUGAACCCGGAUUGGAUUUAUGAGGCAUUCGUUCACAGUUAACCACUUGGUUGACACCACCACUGGCUGCAACUCCAAACAAAUGAUCUUGCAAUAAGGCACCUGAAUUGGAAUUUUGAGGGCCUUCCAGAUAUGAGUUGUUUACAUGAAAAUUGGAAGCUUGUGGCUCAGAAACAGGCCAAAAGCUUUCCCUGCCCCUGGAAGAUGAAGUAGAAUACUGAUAAUCUCCUUCUGAUGACCUUGUCGAUUGAAUACCAAGUUUUUGGUGAAGAAGGUCCAUUAAAGCUUUCUUAGACUUUUCAUGAAUCCCUCCAGCUGAUGCCCAAGUGCUUGAAUCAACUUCGGACUCCCUUCUUUGCAAAUCUGCUUCAAGAUUUAAUUGUUGCAUCUGUUUUCCAGCCCAACUAUUUUCUAGCUGCUCAUUUUCCCCAGAGUGGUAGACUAAAUCUGGACGAGAUGCAUAUACAUCACCCAAAGUUUGUUGGCUAAAAGAGUGGUUACCAGAAGAAAAUGGACCCGGUUGGUUGUUAGAGUGCAUGUAGAGAUGUUCAGCAAUAUCUAGAGAAUUUACAUUGUCUACUUUCAUCCCAGGAGCAGCAGCAGAAUGAACAGACCUGGCAAAUGCUGUAUGGCUGGGGUCAAAAGUUCCUCGCUGCUGUUGCUCCCGCAAAGCAUGAUUCCUUUUAGAAUUGCUGAUUUGCUCUUCAAAAGAUGAAAGCCUCUUCUGGUGAAGAUCUGAACCAUUCAACUCCAUUGAUUGAGCCCGGGGAUGAAUGCCAGGAUUCCUAACAAACUGACCAACUUCAUCUACAGACAAAGAACCAGCAAGUUGUCUAUCCUCCUCCAUUCCUAAUUGUUGGCUCAGCGCCCUAGAUAACUGCUGCACUUGAAACUGCUCUCGUUGAAGACGGAGCUGAUGCUCCAAAGGAAGCAUAUUUCCAUACUUUGCUUGCGACAUGAAAUCCAAAAAAUCAGCCUGUUGCCCUUGGACUGCACUCUGGUUAAUCUUUGCUUGGAUGAUCUGCUCCAGUGAUGGAUCCAGGUGCCUUGAUGCUUGAGAAUUAUUCUGCAAUUCACUUAGAAGAUGCCUUUGUAAUUGAACCUGAUCGAGUUGGAUGUCUCUAGCAGCAUCAAAUACAUCCUGACCAUAGCCAGGAUCAGAAAUCUGAUGCUCAAGCAAUUGAUCA
rnacentral:lncRNA from 1 species